UUGGUAUGAGUGUGUAAGAGCGCAUGGUGGAUGCCUUGGCAUCAGGAGCCGAUGAAGGACGUGGAAAUCUGCGAUAAGCCUCGGGGAGCCGAUAAACGGGCUGUGAUCCGAGGAUGUCCGAAUGGGGAAACCCCGCCACAUGAGAGUGUGGUGACCCGCAUCUGAAUAUAUAGGGUGUGUGGAGGGAACGCGGGGAAGUGAAACAUCUCAGUACCCGUAGGAAGAGAAAAUAAAAUAUGAUUCCGGGAGUAGUGGCGAGCGAAACUGGAUGAGCCUAAACCGUGUCAGUGUCAAGCGUGCUGGUAUUGCUGACAUGGUGUUGUGGGGUAUGCGUGUCUCACCCAGCAUGGUGGGGACGUUGAUGUGUGUUGCGUGUAGUCGAAGCUGGUGGGAAACAGUACCGGAGUGGGUGAGAGUCCCGUAGACGAAACAUGUGACCCCGACGUUAUGCAUGUCCCCGAGUAGCACGGUACUCGUGGAAUGUCGUGUGAAUCUGCCAGGACCACCUGGUAAGGCUAAAUACUUCCUGAUGACCGAUAGCGGAUAGUACCGUGAGGGAAUGGUGAAAAGUACCCCGGGAGGGGAGUGAAAUAGUACCUGAAACCAUGUGCUUACAAUCCGUCAGAGCCUCCUUGUUGGGGUGAUGGCGUGCCUUUUGAAGAAUGAGCCUGCGAGUUAGCGGUGCGUGGCGAGGUUAACCCGAGAGGGGUAGUCGUAGCGAAAGCGAGUCCGAAUAGGGCGUCCCAGUCGCGUGUCCUAGACCCGAAGCGGAGUGAUCUAGCCAUGGGCAGGGUGAAGCGUGUGUAAGAGCGCGUGGAGGCCCGCACCCACUUCAGUUGAAAAUGGAGGGGAUGACCUGUGGUUAGGGGUGAAAGGCCAAUCAAACUCUGUGAUAGCUGGUUCUCCCCGAAAUGCAUUUAGGUGCAGCGUUGCGUGGUUCUUGCCGGAGGUAGAGCUACUGGAUGGCUGAUGGGCCCCACCGGGUUACUGACGUCAACUAAACUCCGAAUGCCGGUAAGGUUCAGCGUGGCAGUGAGACAGUGGGGGAUAAGCUUCAUUGUCGAGAGGGAAACAGCCCAGACCAUCAACUAAGGCCCCUAAGCGUGUGCUAAGUGGGAAAGGAUGUUCAGUUGCGAAGACAACCAGGAGGUUGGCUUAGAAGCAGCCAUCCUUGAAAGAGUGCGUAAUAGCUCACUGGUCAAGUGAUUGAGCGCCGAUAAUGUAGCGGGGCUAAGUACACCGCCGAAGUUGUGGCAGCAUCCCAGACGCCGUAAUGGUGGGGUGUUGGGUAGGGGAGCGUCGUGCUGGCAGUGAAGUCGCCGUGUGAACGAGUGGUGGAGCCGGUACGAGUGAGAAUGCAGGCAUGAGUAGCGAAAGACGGGUGAGAAACCCGUCCACCGGAUGACCAAGGGUUCCAGGGCUAGGCUAAUCCGCCCUGGGUAAGUCGGGACCUAAGGCGAGGCCGACAGGCGUAGUCGAUGGACAACCAGUUGAUAUUCUGGUACCGACGUUCAACCGUCAAUACCAAAACACACGAUACUAACCACGUCACUCACCCGUGAUGUCUUCGGAUGUCUGGUUGGUGUGUGGUGUGGGACCUGAGUGUGGAGUCGGUAAGCGCGAGGUGUGACGCAGGAAGGUAGCCAGGCCACGCGAUGGUAGUCGUGGUCUAAGGUCGUAGCACGUGGGGGUAGGUAAAUCCGUCCCCACUCAUAGUGUGAGAGCUGAUGGGCGCCCCACUUGUGGUGGGGUGAUCUGGUGAUCCUAUGCUGCCGAGAAAAGCAUCGGCGUGAGGUUGUGUGUUGCCCGUACCCUAUAACCGACACAGGUGGUCAGGUAGAGAAUACUAAGGUGAUCGAGAGAAUCGUGGUUAAGGAACUCGGCAAAAUGCCCCCGUAACUUCGGGAGAAGGGGGACCAUCCUGGUGAAGCCAACUUGCUUGGUGAUGUGCUGGUGGUGGUCGCAGAGGCCAGAGAGAAGCGACUGUUUAUUAAAAACACAGGUCCGUGCGAAGAUGUAAGUCGAUGUAUACGGACUGACGCCUGCCCGGUGCUGGAAGGUUAAGAGGACUCGUUAACCCUUUAGGGGGUGAAGCGGAGAAUUUAAGCCCCAGUAAACGGCGGUGGUANNNNNNNNNNNNNNNNNNNNNNNNNNNNNNNNNNNNNNNNNNNNNNNNNNNNNNNNNNNNNNNNNNNNNNNNNNNNNNNNNNCCAGUAAACGGCGGUGGUAACUAUAACCAUCCUAAGGUAGCGAAAUUCCUUGUCGGGUAAGUUCCGACCUGCACGAAUGGCGUAACGACUUCUCUGCUGUCUCAACCACGAACUCGGCGAAAUUGCAUUACGAGUAAAGAUGCUCGUUACGCGCAGCAGGACGGAAAGACCCCGAGACCUUCACUAUAGUUUGGUAUUGGGAUUCGGUGUGGUUUGUGUAGGAUAGGUGGGAGACUGUGAGGCCUCAACGCUAGUUGGGGUGGAGUCGUCAAGUGAAAUACCACUCUGACUAUACUGGAUUUCUUAACUUCGGACCCUGAUCGGGUUCAGGGACAGUGCCUGAUGGGUAGUUUAACUGGGGCGGUUGCCUCCUAAAGAGUAACGGAGGCGCCCAAAGGUUCCCUCAGCCUGGUUGGCAAUCAGGUGUCGAGUGUAAGUGCACAAGGGAGCUUGACUGUGAGACGGACGUGUCGAGCAGGAGCGAAAGCUGGGACUAGUGACCCGGCCAUGGCUUGUGGAAGCGUGGUCGCUCAACGGAUAAAAGGUACCUCGGGGAUAACAGGCUGAUCUUGCCCAAGAGUCCAUAUCGACGGCAUGGUUUGGCACCUCGAUGUCGGCUCGUCGCAUCCUGGGGCUGUAGUCGGUCCCAAGGGUUGGGCUGUUCGCCCAUUAAAGCGGUACGCGAGCUGGGUUUAGAACGUCGUGAGACAGUUCGGU
rnacentral:rRNA from 1 species